rnacentral:rRNA from 1 species
GACAUGGCUCAGAUUGAACGCUGGCGGCAGGCCUAACACAUGCAGGUCGAACGGUAACAGGAAGAAGCUUGCUUCUUUGCUGACGAGUGGCGGACGGGUGAGUAAUGUCUGGGAAACUGCCUGAUGGAGGGGGAUAACUACUGGAAACGGUAGCUAAUACCGCAUAACGUCGCAAGACCAAAGAAGGGGACCUUCGGGCCUCUUGCCAUCGGAUGUGCCCAGAUGGGAUUAGCUAGUAGGUGGGG